rnacentral:rRNA from 1 species
AUGCCGUUCGCCGGAGCCAUCGCCAUCGCCGUCCUCUUGCUUGUCCCCUGUGCCAAGGCCACGUCGGGGGGCCUCAUGAUCGAGCAGAUCUUGUCUGACAAGGGGUGUGGUGCCUUCGCCGGCCUCGUUGCCACCACGGCCGGCGUGGGCGAGGUGUUCCGUUCCUUUUUAGAGAAGGAGGCUGAAACCCCCGACGUGUUCGACGUGUUCGGUGAGAAGAGGGCCCGCAAUGCGGGGCUCACCAUUUUCUGCCCAGACGACGAGGCGGUGGCGGCAUUCACUCCGAGAUUCAACAAGCUCAGCGCCUACGCGCAGGUCGCCCUUCUUCUGUACCAUGGAGUGCCGUCGCGUCGCUCCGAGGAGGCGCUCAGGUUGAUCAACGGGGAGGAGGUGCCGACGCUUGAUAAGGGGCCCUUGCCGGGCUCCAGAAGCAUGCUCACCAUCGAUGUCUACGAAGAUAUCGUGGUACUUUCUUCGCCGUUGCCGUCGCCGUCGGUUGCUGCUGUCACCGAGAUGGUCGUCGACCACGACCGCCUGGCUGUCUACAUCAUCGACGACGUGAUGAUUCCGAGAGAGCCAGAGAUUGGAUUCCCAGCCUUGCUUCUUUUCUUUGGGCUCCUGGCGUUGGCAGCGCUGGUGCUCGCGCAGGUAUUAUUGAUCUUCGGUGACGUCUGA